AACGAACGCUGGCGGCAUGCCUAACACAUGCAAGUCGAACGAAGGCUUCGGCCUUAGUGGCGCACGGGUGCGUAACGCGUGGGAAUCUGCCCUUGGGUUCGGAAUAACUCAGAGAAAUUUGAGCUAAUACCGGAUGAUGACGUAAGUCCAAAGAUUUAUCGCCCAAGGAUGAGCCCGCGUAAGAUUAGCUAGUUGGUGGGGUAAAGGCCUACCAAGGCGACGAUCUUUAGCUGGUCUGAGAGGAUGAUCAGCCACACUGGGACUGAGACACGGCCCAGACUCCUACGGGAGGCAGCAGUGGGGAAUAUUGGACAAUGGGCGAAAGCCUGAUCCAGCAAUGCCGCGUGAGUGAUGAAGGCCUUAGGGUUGUAAAGCUCUUUUACCAGGGAUGAUAAUGACAGUACCUGGAGAAUAAGCACCGGCUAACUACGUG
rnacentral:rRNA from 1 species